rnacentral:rRNA from 1 species
AUUGAACGCUGGCGGCAGGCCUAACACAUGCAAGUCGAGCGGUAGAGAGAAGCUUGCUUCUCUUGAGAGCGGCGGACGGGUGAGUAAUGCCUAGGAAUCUGCCUGGUAGUGGGGGAUAACGCUCGGAAACGGACGCUAAUACCGCAUACGUCCUACGGGAGAAAGCAGGGGACCUUCGGGCCUUGCGCUAUCAAAUGAGCCUAGGUCGGAUUAGCUAGUUGGUGAGGUAAUGGCUCACCAAGGCGACAAUCCGUAACUGGUCUGAGAGGAUGAUCAGUCACACUGGAACUGAAACACGGUCCAAACUCCUACGGGAGGCAGCAGUGGGGAAUAUUGGACAAUGGGCGAAAGCCUGAUCCAGCCAUGCCGCGUGUGUGAAGAAGGUCUUCGGAUUGUAAAGCACUUUAAGUUGGGAGGAAGGGCAGUUACCUAAUACGUAUCUGUUUUGACGUUACCGACAGAAUAAGCACCGGCUAACUCUGUG